CUCAUGGAGGCUCUACCCAGUGCUGCUUCAGGGCCUCCAGACUGAAGAUCAUGUUUACUACAUGUCAGUCUCUAGUACAUCUGCAAAUUCCUGUUCUUGGACAGGUAGCAGGGGACAUCAGGAGUU